rnacentral:lncRNA from 1 species
ACAUAGCAGGAUCCACAGGGGUACCAGAAUGAUAGCGAUGCCACAAGGGAUGAUAAUGGCCAGAGCCCAGCCAGGAAAACCUCCACUUGUGGUAUUGAAAGGAGUGGUCAGCAAAAGAGUAGGAGGUGGUGUGGUAGCUUCUACAGUUGUCGUUGUGGGUGCUGCUGUUGUGGUGGUUGUAGCAGCUAUAUUUGUGGUUGUUGUAGCAGCUUUCGUUGUGGUUGUCGAAGGAGAUGGAGUUGUGGUUGUUGAAGGACCUGCCAUUGUAGUGGUUGUAGGAGCUACAGCUGUUUUAAUUAAUGCAGCAUUAUCAUCUGCAGUUGUAGGAGCUGCAGAUGCAGUUGUAAGAGUUGCAGCUGUAGGAGCUGCAGUUGCACUUGUAGGAGCUGCAGUUAUCAUAGUAGCUGCAAUUGUGGUUGUUCUAAGAGCUGUAGUUGUUGUCGUAGUAGAUGCUGCAGUUGUAGGGGUGGUAGGACCAAUGGUUGUUUUAGUAAGAGCUGAAUUGAUUGUCAUAGCAGCUUUUGUGGUGCUGGUUGAAGGAGCUACAGUUAUUGGAGUAAGAGCUUUAGUUGUUGUUGUAGGUAUGGUAGAUGUAGUGGUUGUAGCCGCAACAGUUGCUGUAGGAGCAACAGAUUUCAUUGUAGGUGCGGCUGAUGUAGGGGUCAUAAGAGCUAAAAAUGUUAUAGUAGGAGGUGCAGUUAUGGUUGUAGCUUUAGCUGCAGUUGUGGUUGUUGUAAGAGCUGCAGUUGUAGUUAUUGUAGCAGGUGCUGCAGUGGUUGUCGAAGUAGGUGCUGAAGUUGUAUUGAUCAUAGGAGCUACAGUUCUUGUUAUGGGUGCUGCUGUUGUAAUGGCCAUAGUAGGUGUUGUGGUUGUCAUAGGGGCUUCAGUUGUAGUUAUUGUAGCAGGUGCUGCAGUGGUUGUCAAAGUAGAUGAUGCAGUUGUAGUGGUCGUAGGAGCUACAGUUGUUGGCGAAGGAGCUACAGAUGUUGUUGUGGUUAUCGUAGGACCUUCAGUUGUCGUUGUAGGUGCUUCUGUUGUUGUGGUCGUACGAUCUAAAGUUGUUGUAGUAGGAGCUGCAGUUGUGGUUGUCAUAGGAACUGCAUUUGUCAUUGUCGUAGUAGGUGCUGCAGUUGUCGUUGUCGUAGUAGGUGCUGCAGUUGUGGUUGUCGUAGUAGCUUUAGUUGUAGUUGUAGAAUGUGUUGCAGUCGUAGUGGUUGUAAGAGCUACAGUUGUUGUAGUAGGAGCUGAAGUGAUUUUUUCAGUAGCUGCUGACGUUGUAGUGGUUGGGGAUAUAUUUGUUGUCAUAGAAGCUACAGUUGUUGUUGUAGAAUGUGUUGCAGUCGUAGUGGUUGUAAGAGCUACAGUUGUUGUAGUAGGAGCUGAAGUGAUUUUUGCAGUAGCUGCUGACGUUGUAGUGGUUGGGGAUAUAUUUGUUGUCAUAGAAGCUACAGUUGUUGUUGUAGGUGCUGCAGUUGUGGUUGUCGUAGCAGCUUCAGUUGUAGUUGUCGUAGCAGGUGCUGCAGUUGUGGUUAUCGUAGGAGCUUCAGUUGUAGUUGUUAAAGUAGGUGCUGCAGUUGUAGUGGUUGUAAGAGCUACAUAUGGUUUAGGAGUGUCAAUUGCAGUUAUUUUAGCAGAUGCUGCAGCGGUUGUCGAAGUAGGUGGUGUAGUUGUGGUCGUAGGAGCUACAGUUGUUGCACUUGGAGCUACAGUUGUGGUUGUCGUAGGAGCUACAGUUGUGGUUGUCGUAGUAGGUGUUGUGGUUGUCGUAGUAGGUGUUGUGGUUGUCGUAGUAGGUGGUGUGGUCGUCGUAGUAGGUGCUGCAGUUGUCGUAGUAGGUGCUGCAGUUGUCGUAAUAGGUGCUGCAAUUGUGGUUGUCGUAGCAGCUUCAGUUAUAAUUGUCGUAGUAGGUGCUGCAGUUGUGGUUAUCAUAGGCGCUUCAGUUGUAGUUGUUGUAGUAUGUGCUGCAGUCGUAGUGGUUGUAAG